UGAAACCGUGUACGUACAAGCAGUGGGAGCACCCUUUGGGGUGUGACUGCGUACCUUUUGUAUAAUGGGUCAGCGACUUAUAUUCUGUAGCAAGGUUAACCGUAUAGGGGAGCCGGAGGGAAACCGAGUCUUAACCGGGCGUUAAGUUGCAGGGUAUAGACCCGAAACCCGGUGAUCUAGCCAUGGGCAGGUUGAAGGUUGGGUAACACUAACUGGAGGACCGAACCGACUAAUGUUGAAAAAUUAGCGGAUGACCUGUGGCUGGGGGUGAAAGGCCAAUCAAACCGGGAGAUAGCUGGUUCUCCCCGAAAGCUAUUUAGGUAGCGCCUCGUGAAUUCAUCUCCGGGGGUAGAGCACUGUUUCGGCUAGGGGGCCAUCCCGGCUUACCAACCCGAUGCAAACUGCGAAUACCGGAGAAUGUUAUCACGGGAGACACACGGCGGGUGCUAACGUCCGUCGUGAAGAGGGAAACAACCCAGACCGCCAGCUAAGGUCCCAAAGUCAUGGUUAAGUGGGAAACGAUGUGGGAAGGCCCAGACAGCCAGGAUGUUGGCUUAGAAGCAGCCAUCAUUUAAAGAAAGCGUAAUAGCUCACUGGUCGAGUCGGCCUGCGCGGAAGAUGUAACGGGGCUAAACCAUGCACCGAAGCUGCGGCAGCGACGCUGAUGCGUUGUUGGGUAGGGGAGCGUUCUGUAAGCCUGCGAAGGUGGCCUGUGAGGGUUGCUGGAGGUAUCAGAAGUGCGAAUGCUGACAUAAGUAACGAUAAAGCGGGUGAAAAGCCCGCUCGCCGGAAGACCAAGGGUUCCUGUCCAACGUUAAUCGGGGCAGGGUGAGUCGACCCCUAAGGCGAGGCCGAAAGGCGUAGUCGAUGGGAAACGGGUUAAUAUUCCCGUACUUGGUGUUACUGCGAAGGGGGGACGGAGAAGGCUAUGUUGGCCGGGCGACGGUU
rnacentral:rRNA from 1 species